AGUGAACGCUGGCGGUAGGCCUAACACAUGCAAGUCGAACGGCAGCACAGUAAGAGCUUGCUCUUACGGGUGGCGAGUGGCGGACGGGUGAGGAAUACAUCGGAAUCUACUUUUUCGUGGGGGAUAACGUAGGGAAACUUACGCUAAUACCGCAAACGACCUACGGGUGAAAGCAGGGAAUCUUCGGACCUUGCGCGAUUGAAUGAGCCGAUGUCGGAUUAGCUAGUUGGCGGGGUAAAGGCCCACCAAGGCGACGAUCCGUAGCUGGUCUGAGAGGAUGAUCAGCCACACUGGAACUGAGACACGGUCCAGACUCCUACGGGAGGCAGCAGUGGGGAAUAUUGGACAAUGGGCGCAAGCCUGAUCCAGCCAUACCGCGUGGGUGAAGAAGGCCUUCGGGUUGUAAAGCCCUUUUGUUGGGAAAGAAAAGCAGCAGGUUAAUACCCCGCUGUUCUGACGGUACCCAAAGAAUAAGCACCGGCUAACUUCGUG
rnacentral:rRNA from 1 species